UUUUCCAUUUGACUACUACAUUUUCUCCAAAUAAUAGAUUUUCAUGGCUAUACUUAUGGGAUAGCUUAAAAUUGCCAUCAUCUGAAGAGGGUCUAUGAUAUAUAUAAAAUGGAUCUCCAUAUAUCC
ensembl:snoRNA